rnacentral:rRNA from 1 species
AUUGAACGCUGGCGGCAUGACUUACACAUGCAAGUCGAACGGCAGCACGGGUGCUUGCACCUGGUGGCGAGUGGCGAACGGGUGAGUAAUACAUCGGAACGUACCUUAUCGUGGGGGAUAACGCAGCGAAAGCUGUGCUAAUACCGCAUUAGCCCUGAGGGGGAUAGCGGGGGAUCGAAAGACCUCGCGCGAUUAGAGCGGCCGAUGCCUGAUUAGCUUGUUGGUGGGGUAAAAGCCGACCAAGGCGACGAUCAGUAGCUGGUCUGAGAGGACGAGCGGCCACACUGAGACUGAGACGAGGCGCAGACUCCGACGGGAGGCAGCGGUGGGGAAUUUUGUACAAUGGGGGCAACCCUGGUCCAGCAAUGCCGCGUGAGUGAAGAAGGCCUUCGGGUUGUAAAGCUCUUUUCUCAGGGAAGAAACACCGGCUCUAACACAGUCCGGGAAUUACGGUACCUGAAGAAUAAGCACCGGCUAACUACGUGCCAGCAGCCGCCGUAA